GCGUCGGUACUCAAUUGCCGUCGCCAAAGCUCCUAUAUUUGCUACGGGCAAGCAUGUAGUCGCAAAAGUAUAAUAAGUUUGCGUCAGCAGUAUGAUGCUGUCACUAAAAUCACUUGGCUUUGCUACUGCGAAUGUCUUCCGUCGUAUGAUUCAUUCCUCUCACAUUUAACUCUCACUCUCUCUCGAUCAGUUUCCCCAUUUGUAGCGUUGCCUCUUUCUCUUUCUCUCUCUGAUUCCUUCCCAACCCCAAAACACGACCCCCCAAUCCAUGAAGAUCAACACCAGAUCCGGGACACCCACCGCCACCCUCCUCCAACCCACCAUCAAGGGAUCGCCUACUGCAAGAUCUGAAACCCCAAUCUCCAAUGGAUUUGAGCUGCGAUCCGAUUGGAUCUAACCAUAGAUCCACAAACCAGAUCGAAAACGCGCCGUCUCGAUACCCAUGGUUUUCUCUCUCCUCCUGCAUCUUCUCCGACGAAAGCCAGCAGCCGAUCUUUGGGGUAGGAAAAAGAAGAGGAGAGAUCCAAGAUUUUGGUUGAUUUUCGGAGGAGGGUUUGGGUUUGUUUCGGAAGAGGUUGCUGCUAAGAUUUUGAUAAAGUUUGGGAGAAAGCUUUCAGCAGAAGAAGAGUGCUGCCAGUUCUUCUGCCAGCAAGGUGGAUUCGGCUCUUUUUAGGUAGGGGGUUCAUGAUAGGAGUGAACAGUUGCCAUAAAGGCGACAAAGUUGAAGAGAUACUUGGAAAUGAGGCGUGCUGAUGGAGGGCUGACCUUGGACAAGCUUAUGUGCUUUGCUUGCAUUUCCGACAUGUUGGAGGUUUGGAACAAUUCAGCUAAGAGUAAUGGGUGACUUUGAGGCUUGCACGAGCAAAGCUUUCUGCUCUAAAAAAGGACUGCACACAGGACUCCAUCCACUCCAAACAACUUUUUUAAGCAUUCUUCAUCUUUGUUUACACUCUAUCCUCAUUUCCUCAAAGUCUAAGUCUGUAUCUAAUAUAAGUUGUUUCCCUCAAUAAUAUAACUUGCUAAUUUGAUUACAAAAUUAAAAAGGCUGCUCUAAAUGUGUAUUCCAUUUAUUCAUCAUUCUAUGAUACUCCGGUUUUGCAGUGUCUCAUAUUUGAUCUUAAUGAAGCUUGGAUAAGGGAUAUAUACGUGGUAUCAAGUGGUCAACAAACCAAGAGAGGCCAACACCUUAUGAAAAGAAUAUCUAAAAGCAUCAAAAGAGCAUUUUACCUACAACCGGUUUUCAUAAAAUUCUUCAAUGUAGACCCUCUUUGAGUCUCUUUAGCUGGAGACCCAAAUGCAAGACACACCUAAAGAAUAGUUUAUCCAUUGCUUGGAUUACUCGCAGCAGCCCCCUAUUCAGGAACUAAUUGGAAGGGAUCUUCAUGAUAUAUAAUGAAUGGAAAUUCAGACAUAUUUCGAGGAGGCUUGCAACAACACUAGAGUAAUUGGUACAUGAAGUAGAUCGAGGAAGAUCCCUGCAAAGUUCAUCUUGAAGUAGAGGAAAAUAACUAACUUGUAAAGCUUAAUUAUCGAUCUUGUACAUUUUGGUAGAAGCUUCAUUCAUUUUGUAACAUUUAUGAGGAAAAUUAAAGUCUAACAUUUCCUUUUAUAUAAGCUUCAUUCCUUUUUGUAUAGUUUUCAUUCAUUAAAAAAAAA